AUACGUAGGGGGCGAGCGUUGUCCGGAAUGACUGGGCGUAAAGGGCGUGUAGGCGGCUUUAUAAGUCUGGAGUGAAAGUCCUGCUUUCAAGGUGGGAAUUGCUUUGGAGACUGUAGAGCUUGAGUGCGGAAGAGGUAAGUGGAAUUCCCAGUGUAGCGGUGAAAUGCGUAGAGAUCGGGAGGAACACCAGUGGCGAAGGCGGGUAACUGGACUGCAACUGACGCUGAGGCGCGAAAGUGUGGGGAGCAAACAGGAUUAGAUACCCUGGUAGUCCACACUGUAAACGAUGAAUGCUAGGUGUAAGAGGUAUCGACCCCUUUUGUGCCGGAGUCAACACAAUAAGCAUUCCGCCUGGGGAGUACGGCCGCAAGGUUGAAACUCAAAGGAAUUGACGGGG
rnacentral:rRNA from 1 species